GACGAACGCUGGCGGCGUGCUUAACACAUGCAAGUCGAACGGAAAGGCCCUGCUUUUGUGGGGUGCUCGAGUGGCGAACGGGUGAGUAACACGUGAGUAACCUGCCCUUGACUUUGGGAUAACUUCAGGAAACUGGGGCUAAUAUCGGAUAGGAGCUCCUGCUGCAUGGUGGGGGUUGGAAAGUUUCGGCGGUUGGGGAUGGACUCGCGGCUUAUCAGCUUGUUGGUGGGGUAGUGGCUUACCAAGGCUUUGACGGGUAGCCGGCCUGAGAGGGUGACCGGCCACAUUGGGACUGAGAGACGGCCCAGACUCCUACGGUAGGCAGCAGUGGGGAAUAUUGCACAAUGGGCGGAAGCCUGAUGCAGAGACGCUGCGUGCGGGAUGACGGCCUUCGGGUUGUAAACCGCUUUCGCCUGUGACGAAGCGGGAGUGACGGUAAUGGGUAAAGAAGCACCGGCUAACUACGUG
rnacentral:rRNA from 1 species